GGGCGUCGGUGCUGUCCGGCUGAGAUGAUAGCCUAAGUUAUCUACCCUUAGAACCUGAUCCGGGUAAUUCUGGCGAAGGGAGCUUGGUUUUUUU
rnacentral:ncRNA from 1 species